GCGGCCGUCGUCUAGUCUGGUUAGGACACAGACGCCGUAAGCCUGCGAUCCCGGGUUCGAAUCCCGGCGGCCGCA
rnacentral:tRNA from 1 species